rnacentral:rRNA from 1 species
UGGGGAAUUUUGGACAAUGGGGGAAACCCUGAUCCAGCCAUCCCGCGUGUGCGAUGAAGGCCUUCGGGUUGUAAAGCACUUUUGGCAGGAAAGAAACGUCAUGGGUUAAUACCCCGUGAAACUGACGGUACCUGCAGAAUAAGCACCGGCUAACUACGUGCCAGCAGCCGCGGUAAUACGUAGGGUGCAAGCGUUAAUCGGAAUUACUGGGCGUAAAGCGUGCGCAGGCGGUUCGGAAAGAAAGAUGUGAAAUCCCAGAGCUCAUCUUUGGAACUGCAUUUUUAACUACCGGGCUAGAGUGUGUCAGAGGGAGGUGGAAUUCCGCGUGUAGCAGUGAAAUGCGUAGAUAUGCGGAGGAACACCGAUGGCGAAGGCAGCCUCCUGGGAUAACACUGACGCUCAUGCACGAAAGCGUGGGGAGCAAACAGG